AUGGAGGGGACGACGCAGAUUGUGUCCAUCGUCGGGCAGCUGGUGGGGGAGGAGUACCGGCAGCUCCGCGAUGUAGCCGGCCAGGUGGCUGAGCUCAGGGACGAGCUGGACACCAUGAACGCCAUCCUCCGCAUGCUGUCCGAUGCCGACGAGGGCGCCGUGGACCACUUCAUCCGGGCGUGGAUGAAGCAGGUUCGCGAGCUCGCAUACGACGCGGAGGAUUGUGUUCACCUUUACAUCCUCCGCAUCCGGUGCCGGCCGAGAGACGGCUUCCUCGUCUGGUCCAAGCGCAUCCUCACGACGCUCUUCCCUCGCCGUUGGCUGGCUCGUGAGAUCCAGGAGCUCCGCGCCCGUGCUGUCGUGAUCAGUGAGCGUCAUGCGCGUUACGGCGUCAGCCGUAAGGCGCUGAGCCGCUCUACUUCUCCUUCUACCUCUGCGCCGGUGCUCCGCCAUGCGCGCAGCCUGGCAGCAAACGACCGUGACCAUCUCGUGGGCAUCACGGAGCAGGCUAAGGAACUGGCCACGAUGGUUAAGGCUGUGAUUAACAGUGAGCGUGACAUGAAGCCCAAGGUGUUCUCCAUCGUGGGGUUCGGAGGGCUCGGGAAGAUUACGCUGGCCAUGGAGGUGUGCCAGCAGCUGGAGGCGGACUUCCAACGCCAAGCACAAGUCUCCGUGUCCCAGGCGUUCCGCGGCACAAAGGAUAUGGAGGGACUGCUGAGGCGCAUGCUUCGUCAAAUCGUCAAGCCAAAAGUAGAUAACGCGCAAGGCAUCAAGGAAGAAGAACCCCUAGAUGACAUCGACAACAAGGAUGAAGACGACCUCACUAACAUGCUCAAGGAGCUUCUCAAGGACAUGAGGUACCUCAUUGUGGUGGACGAUGUAUGGACAGUAGCAACAUGGGAUGCAAUCAAAUACAGGUUGCCAGACAACAACCAAGGCAGCCGGAUCAUUGUGACCACUCGGAUAGAUACUGUGGCUGCAGCAUGCAGUGGUGCUAGCAGUGUUAAUGAAAAUUGCGUUUAUCGGAUUAAGCCCCUCAGUUUGGAAGACUCCAAGAAGUUGUUCCUCAGCAGAGCAUUUGGUCCCAAGGUUGCCUCUUGCCCCAAGGGUCUGGUAGUUGAAAUGCACAAAAUUUUGAAAAAAUGUGGUGGACUUCCAAUGGCAAUUAUUAGCAUCGCAGGCCUCUUGGCAAGCUACGAAUCAUCGGAGAGCAAAGAUAUGUGGGAAAGAGUUCACAAGUCGAUUGGUUCUCACAUGGAGAGCCACCCUACCCUUGAGGGGAUGAGGCAAAUAGUUACUCUCAGCUAUAACCACCUCCCUCAUUACCUUAAGGGUUGCAUGAUGUACCUCAGCAUUUUCCCAGAGGAUUAUGUCUUCGCCAAAGAUCGUCUCCUGAAGAGAUGGAUAGCAGAAGGACUAGUUACUGAGGUCCGGGGUUUGACCUUAAUGGAGGUUGCAGAAGCCCACUACAAUGAGUUGGUGAGUAGAAGCAUGAUUGAUCGGUCCAGUGAUGUAGUCACCUUCUAUGAUGGGAGGUUGGAGAUGUGUCGGGUGCACGACAUGAUGCUUGAGGUCAUGGUGAACAAAUCCCUGGAGUUUAACUUUGUUAGCCUAGUAGGUGGUCCGUACAAAGGGAUGGCGUAUUAUAGGAUUCGCCGCCUAUCCAUCCAUGGUGGUGAAGAGACAGAGGGCUCUCCAUCUAAUAGAACUGCGGCAUGUCUUAGUAAGACAAAUGGCAUCGAGGGGGUGAAGAUGGAUCAUGUCCGAUCGUUGAGCCUAUUUGGCCCGGACGAUCACAGAAUGGUGCUUGAUCGUUUAGGCGAGUUCACCCUGCUCAGGGUGCUCGACCUGGAAGAUUGCAUGGGCCUAGAAAACAAGCAUUUGAAACAUGUCUGCCGGAUGUACCUGCUAAGAUUUUUGAGCAUGAAAGGUACAAGUAUCGAGAAGAUGCCACCAGAAGUCGGUGACCUAGAGAAUUUGGAGACCCUUGAUCUACGUCACACGCUCCUGGAAGAUCUACCGGAAACUGUGUCAAAGCUAGAGAAACUUGAACACCUGCAAAUCAGCAGCAGGCGUUACUUUUACGGUGAUAGUUGGACUGCACGCAAGGGCCUGCGUAGGAUGAAGGCACUACGGACGGUGAAUGAAGUGGUUUUUAAAUGUGAUGUUGAUGCUGCCAAAGAGCUCGGUGAACUACAACAGCUGAGAGAUUUACGUAUGGCCGUUGUCAGCGAGCCCCCUAAUGAGGAAGCUAAGAAAAAGCUUGCUGAGUCCCUGAGCAAGUUAUAUUCCCUCCGGUGGCUCAACAUUAGUGACCGUGGUCCGGACAAGGAUGUAUUGAACUUUCUGCAUAAUGUCAAGCCCCACCCGCCGUACCUCCAGUAUCUAAGGAUCGGCUCCCACAUUGACAAAUUGCCCGAGUGGGUCGAGUUUCUGCAUGAUCUUGUCGAGCUUUCCGUUGCUUGGACAUACUUUGGUGGUGACCAACUGUUCAGCCCAAUAUGUAAUUUGCCCAAGCUGAAGUACUUAGACUUGGACGCGUACUGCUACCAAGAUAAAGAGCUGGUUGCACAAGCUACCCAGAGCUUUCCGGCGCUCAAGGACCUGUACCUGAAAUUUGAGAAUGGAGCUGUGGAAGUUCUCCGAUUUGAGGAAAGAUCAAUGACAAAACUUGAGUCACUCAGAGUGAGAUUCGCAACCACAGAUUCUAAGAGCGUAACUGGCGUCGAGCAUUUGACAAGCCUUAAAGAGGUUCAGCUCAUUGGUAAGAAAAACAACUCUUCAUUGGAUGAUACAGUGGGGCAGCUAAAGACACUGAAUGAGAAGCGCCCGGAUCAGCAGCUCAAGGUUGCAGUGAAAUACGAGUGA
rnacentral:rRNA from 1 species